rnacentral:rRNA from 1 species
UACGUAGGGUGCGAGCGUUGUCCGGAAUUAUUGGGCGUAAAGGGCUCGUAGGCGGUUUGUCGCGUCGGGAGUGAAAUCCUACGGCUUAACUGUGGGCUUGCUUUCGAUACGGGCAGACUAGAGGUAUGCAGGGGAGAACGGAAUUCCUGGUGUAGCGGUGAAAUGCGCAGAUAUCAGGAGGAACACCGGUGGCGAAGGCGGUUCUCUGGGCAUGAUCUGACGCUGAGGAGCGAAAGUGUGGGGAGCGAACCGG